UACAGAGGAUGCAAGCGUUAUCCGGAAUGAUUGGGCGUAAAGCGUCUGUAGGUGGCUUUUUAAGUCCGCCGUCAAAUCCCAGGGCUCAACUCUGGACAGGCGGUGGAAACUACCAAGCUCGAGUACGGUAGGGGCAGAGGGAAUUUCCGGUGGAGCGGUGAAAUGCGUAGAGAUCGGAAAGAACAUCAGUGGCGAAAGCGACUUCCUGGACCAAUACUGACGCUCAUGUGCGAAAGCGUGGGGAGCAAACAGG
rnacentral:rRNA from 1 species